AGAGAGACAUUGGAAGACAGUUCCUGAAGGCUUUUGCAAUAGAUACUUAGAAUUUUUUAACGUAAGGUGAAGAGCAUAUAGAGUUAAUAGUUCUCUUAAAAAAUAAGUUCUGUAUUUAGCAAUUAAGCAGAUUCAUCUGAGGGGGGAAAAAAUUACUUUGUUAAGUGAAUUGGUCAGUAUGGUUUCAUCUGUUUGUAAUGUCUGAGUGCUUUUGAAUUUAAUUUAUUCAGUUUAUGAAAAAAGGUGGUUUUAAUCACUGACAGCACCGCAGAUUUGAAAUGAGGUUUGAGGAACAAACAUUGGCUUUCUUACUUAAGCGUUCUCAGAAAUGGUUUAAAACAAUUUAGGUCUUGAAGGUCAUUCUUGUUCCUGUUUUCAUCCGUGCAGUUCGGAUAGUCUCAGAUUCAGCCUCCAGUGACUCUUAUGGAAUCCCUACAGAUUUUUCAUUGGGCAAAAAUCCCUUUCAUGACCAACGAAGGAGGCAGCAACGUUUUUACAAUUGCCUGAAGUGCCUGUUGCUAGAAAUGCUUUUCACUUUGUUCCUGAAAAGUAUGCCAAAUUUACUGGAGAGCUAGCACGCUGAUUUAUUUAUAUAAUAUGACAUGCUGCCAGAAAAAACAAGCCUUUUAUGCUUGAGGAGGCUUGAGAAGUUUUCUUGCCAGUUGCGAGUCCUACUUCUCAAAGUAAAAGAGAGCAAGUAAUGUCUGUGAAAAAAGUUUUCCUGACAGACGGCAUGCAGGCAGCAAUCCUGGGCCCUGCCAGUCCUGGUUGCCAGUGAUGUUACAGAAAGAAGUAGCCGCGGCGGAAGGGAGCAUGAGUUUUCCAGUGGAACACGCGGCAGUGGGGAUCUCCUGCAGGUUAAGUGAAGGGGGGACACGUACAGAGGACAUGCAGGCGGGCCUCUGCCGGCCUGACACAAAGGAGUCUCAACUGGAGCAUCUCUGAACUGGACUGGACAAUCUUGAUGACUCAAGUUGCUUGGAGAGAACAGUAAUUAUGCGUUUUGAAGUAUCUGAAAUUAUAUGAAAGUAUAUACUGCAGCCUGUGAGAACAAAGCUUCCCUAGCAUGGAAGUGUGGAUUUCAUCCUCCCUUCACAGACGAGAAGGAAGAAGCACCUCCAGAGAACAGUGUGUGACACAUUCCAGAAAGUAAAAUCUUAAAAUAAAAUCCGCUGCCUUGUAUAGGUA